rnacentral:tRNA from 1 species
UCCCUGGCGGUCCAGUGGUUAGGACUCUAUGCUUUUAUUGCUGAGGGCCCAGGUUCGAUCCCUGGUCAGGGAA